CACGGGACACGGGACGCAAGAGG
rnacentral:misc_RNA from 1 species